UCCUUGUAGUCGGUCUCGUCCGGCGUGUUCGAGGGGUCGCCGUGCCUCUCUUGUCUUCUGAAGUCGGAGCUGUUUGAGGGGGAUCCUUGCGGCGACGAUGACGUGAAGAUGGGUGGUUGGUUCUGGCGCUGGCUCGACGCAGGUCCAGUGCUUUCUUCCUUCAAUGCUCGUCAGCUGAGUCGAAGUUGCCUGGUCGCCGGCGCGUGUGGUGGACUGUUUGGCGUUGUCCGACGCAGGCCUCUACGCUUGUCUGAGGUGGAGGCUACAUCGGUGGUCGUCGAUGGUGAAGUCGGAGUCGCCCUCGCGGAGGCGUGAUGACGAUGACGCCGGAUUACAACCUCGACGGAGUUCUUCCCUUAGGCGGCGUGUGUGCGUUCUUGUGAAGGUUUCCAGGUCGCCCUGUGUGUCCUGUUGUGGCGGGCGCAUUGUGACGGUUUUAGCUCGGUUUUCCGAUUAUUAACCGGGCAACUCUCUUCGACCUUUUUUAAUGAGAUCGGUACCUCAGGGACCGUGUUUCAAAAAAAAA
rnacentral:lncRNA from 1 species